UACGGAAGGCAGCAGUGGGGAAUAUUGCACAAUGGGCGCAAGCCUGAUGCAGCCAUGCCGCGUGUAUGAAGAAGGCCUUCGGGUUGUAAAGUACUUUCAGCGGGGAGGAAGGCGAUGUGGUUAAUAACCGCGUCGAUUGACGUUACCCGCAGAAGAAGCACCGGCUAACUCCGUGCCAGCAGCCGCGGUAAUACGGAGGGUGCAAGCGUUAAUCGGAAUUACUGGGCGUAAAGCGCACGCAGGCGGUCUGUUAAGUCAGAUGUGAAAUCCCCGGGCUUAACCUGGGAACUGCAUUUUGAAACUGGCAGGCUUGAGUCUCGUAGAGGGGGUAGAAUUCCAGGUGUAGCGGUGAAAUGCGUAGAGAUCUGGAGGAAUCCGGUGGCGAAGGCGGCCCCUGGGACGAGACUGACGCUCAGGGUGCGAAAGCGUGGGGAGCAAACAGGAUUAGGAUACC
rnacentral:rRNA from 1 species